rnacentral:rRNA from 1 species
UACGGAGGGUGCGAGCGUUGUCCGGAAUCACUGGGCGUAAAGGGCGCGUAGGCGGCUGGGGAAGUCGGCGGUGAAAGCCCGGAGCUCAACUCCGGGUCGGCCGUCGAGACUCCUCGGCUCGAGCUCACUAGAGGCAGAUGGAAUUCCGAGUGUAGAGGUGAAAUUCGUAGAUAUUCGGAAGAACACCAGUGGCGAAGGCGGCCCGCUGGACAUGUAUUGACGCUGAGGUGCGAAAGCGUGGGGAGCAAACAGGG